rnacentral:rRNA from 1 species
AGAGAGAGACAUGCGCGCAUAUCAAUAAGCGGAGGAAAAGAAACUAACUAGGAUUCCCUCAGUAACGGCGAGUGAAGCGGGAAGAGCUCAAAUUUGAAAUCUUCAAGGGUUCUACCUUUACGAAUUGUAGUUUAAAGAAGUGUUUUCUGUUGAGGUUUUGGUAAAAGUUCUUUGGAAUAGGACAUCAUAGAGGGUGAGAAUCCCGUAUUUGACCAUUACUUUCAACUUCGUGAUACACUUUCAAAGAGUCGGAUUGUUUGGGAAUGCAGUCCAAAAUGGGUGGUAAAUUUCAUCUAAAGCUAAAUAUUGGCGAGAGACCGAUAGCGAACAAGUACCGUGAGGGAAAGAUGAAAAGAACUUUGAAAAGAGAGUUAAACAGUACGUGAAAUUGUCAAAAGGGAAGCGUUUGACACCAGUGUUGUUUUCUCGAAAAUCAAUUAAAAAAGGCAGGAUUUUGUGUUGUAUUGACUUUAUCAGCUUUCUGCACUCUUUUCUUGUCUUUUUUAAUGCACUUUUCGUUUAACAAGUCAACAUCAAUUUCUUUUGUUGUAAAAGGGUCAUUGGAAGGUGGCUUUCUUUUCGGAGAAAGUGUUUAUAGCCUUUGGCCUCUGCAAUCGGAGAGAUUGAGGUCUGCAGCGUAGAUCCUUCGGGGUUAGAUACAUUUGUGCUAAGUUAUAGCCUUUCAUAGACAACUUGUUGACUAUGAUCAGUCAUGUAGCUUACUCGCUUAUGCUAUUUUACCUACGCUUAGGAUGUUGAUGUGAUACUGCGAGCA